GUACACUCCUGCGGGAGGCAGCAGUGGGGAAUUUUGGACAAUGGGCGAAAGCCUGAUCCAGCAAUGCCGCGUGUGUGAAGAAGGCCUUCGGGUUGUAAAGCACUUUUGUCCGGAAAGAAAUCCUUGGCUCUAAUACAGUCGGGGGAUGACGGUACCGGAAGAAUAAGCACCGGCUAACUACGUGCCAGCAGCCGCGGUAAUACGUAGGGUGCGAGCGUUAAUCGGAAUUACUGGGCGUAAAGCGUGCGCAGGCGGUUUGCUAAGACCGAUGUGAAAUCCCCGGGCUCAACCUGGGAACUGCAUUGGUGACUGGCAGGCUAGAGUAUGGCAGAGGGGGGUAGAAUUCCACGUGUAGCAGUGAAAUGCGUAGAGAUGUGGAGGAAUACCGAUGGCGAAGGCAGCCCCCUGGGCCAAUACUGACGCUCAUGCACGAAAGCGUGGGGAGCAAACAGGAUUAGAUACCCCAGUAGUCCC
rnacentral:rRNA from 1 species